AUUGCAAAUUUCCAUGCUUCAGCAAUUAUCAUCCUGUAGUCCGGUUCUUGUAGCCAAAACGCUUCAAAGAUAAAUGGUCUCCGUCUUCUCCUCAGAAAUGCUUCAGUAAUUAAAAGUAAAGGGCUGUGGUCUGAUCCUACUGCUGGUAAAGCAAAUACCUCGGCUUCCAGGAAGGUGAAUGCGCAGCCCUUACUCUCCAUGUCUAAUAAGGAACAAUCAUGAAGAACCUCUCGGAAAGAAUUCAUACGUUGGAAAUCUGCGGCACGCUUACCAACCUUUUCCCAGUGAUAGGUAAUUUCAUUAAAGUCUCCGACACAAAUCCAAGGAGAAUUGUUAGAGUUCGCAAUUCGUCGGAGGUCCUGCCACAGGUUUUGGCGAAGCCGAAACACAGCUGGUGCAUGGAGACAAGUCACACGAAUAGAAAAUGGCCAGACCUCCUGCGGAACCAACAGGAUUAACCAAAAAGGAGUUAGGGAACUUAAGCCGCUGCUGAAUUUUAGUAAGCACCUCCGGUCUAUUUUUGGUUUCCAUUAAAAACAGCAGAUCGGGUCUUUCUUUAGCCACUAGGGCUUUAAGGGUUUGAACUGUCAGGGAAGACCCCAGACCCUGACAGUUCCAACUAACAAGCUUCAUUUUCCUGUAGGUGGCUUUUGAGGGCAAGCCACCUCGGCCCCUUUGUUGUUCUCUGCAGCAAUGAGAAUCGGAGUGUCCAUUAAUUGGGUCUCAUCAAAAUCCUCAGCAAUAUGAGCUCUAGAUUCAUAAGGAUUAUAUCUCCUUAACUUCUUGGAACUCCCCGCCUUAGUAGGUGCUCUUGAUUGCUUCGUUUUUUUGUGGUAUUGGACAAUAGUGUGCUGAUCCUAAACACCUUUUAAUUUUGCAGAUGCAGGAGUUAGAUCCUUCUUUAAAAAACCUAAACUAGGUUGUGGCACAUGUUGUACACCUUUCAUAGAUUUUUCUCCCAUACCAUCUGACUGAAGUAUCGCUGAUAGAUGCUUACCCCCCUCUCUUUGCUGUAUAUCAGAAUGAAUGAUGUCUAGCAUAUCCUGCUUAUUAGGUAAAACAAGGGCCAUUUCACCUAUGGAAGAUGGCUCUACUGUCUGUCCUUCAUUAUUAAUUGGCCUGGUGGGAUUAUCUAUCGGAGGGAGUGCUGGGGCCUUAGCAAUCAAGGAGGGAGGUGUCUCAGGUAUCACUUCCUCUGAUUGUGCUGCUUUGUCUUGAACACCAUAAAAAGUAACCCAGUAAGGAUUAUGUUGUUUGACUUCAGCACGCAACCAUUGUCCAAAGGCCAUUUUUUCCUUUCCUUCAAAUUUUGCUUGAGUGGAGGGAAUUUCCUCGCAGUGUGCGGCAUAAUGUCCCAGCCUACCACAUGAAAAGCAGAAGUGUGGAAGGCGCUCAUAUCGGAAAUCUAACCAUAUAUUCCUUCCGUCAAUACGAAUUAAGUGCCCUGUUUUUAAGGGCUGACUUAGAUUUAUUUCCACCCGAGCUCUACCUGCCCUGAAGUUGGAACCUUCUCUAGUGUCUACUUUAACUGUAAGUACUUUCCCAACAUGUCUUGCUGCUCUCCUUAGCAUCUGAUCCGUGCACCAUUCUAGUGGUAAUCCGAAGAUUUGAACCCAAAAUUCACAUGAGGAGAAAUCAUAACAAUGCAAAGGUGUAUUAGGAAUCCAUGGCUUUAAAAUGACUAGAUGAUUGGUGAAACACCAUGGACCUCCCUCUAAAACUCUCCGUUUUUCCUCUUCAGAUGUAAAUUUUGCUACAUAAAGGCCAGUAUCCUGUUGUGUGAGUUC